AUCUUUUUGUGGUUCAUAAGUGUGAUAAUUGGGUAUUCAUGUUAUUGUUGAGAUGUGCCUCCCUCAAACCUUGUUAGGAUGUUGGCAUGUUAACUGUUCAAUG
ensembl:snoRNA